CCUACGGGAGGCAGCAGUGGGGAAUAUUGGACAAUGGGCGAAAGCCUGAUCCAGCAAUGCCGCGUGAGUGAUGAAGGCCUUAGGGUUGUAAAGCUCUUUUACCCGGGAUGAUAAUGACAGUACCGGGAGAAUAAGCCCCGGCUAACUCCGUGCCAGCAGCCGCGGUAAUACGGAGGGGGCUAGCGUUGUUCGGAAAUACUGGGCGUAAAGCGUACGUAGGCGGCUUGGCAAGUCAGGGGUGAAAUCCCGGAGCUCAACUCCGGAACUGCCCUUGAAACUGCCUGGCUAGAAUCUUGGAGAGGUCAGUGGAAUUCCGAGUGUAGAGGUGAAAUUCGUAGAUAUUCGGAAGAACACCAGUGGCGAAGGCGACUGACUGGACAAGUAUUGACGCUGAGGUACGAAAGCGUGGGGAGCAAACAGGAUUAGAUACCCUGGUAGUCCACGCCGUAAACGAUGAUAACUAGCUGUCCGGGCACAUGGUGUUUGGGUGGCGCAGCUAACGCAUUAAGUUAUCCGCCUGGGGAGUACGGUCGCAAGAUUAAAACUCAAAGGAAUUGACGG
rnacentral:rRNA from 1 species